UACGGGGGGGGCAAGCGUUGUUCGGAAUUACUGGGCGUAAAGGGCGCGUAGGCGGUCUGCUAAGCGUGUGGUGAAAGCUCGGGGCUCAACCCCGAGUCGGCCGUGCGAACUGGUGGACUCGAGCACGUCAGAGGCAGGCGGAAUUCCGGGUGUAGCGGUGGAAUGCGUAGAGAUCCGGAAGAACACCGGUGGCGAAGGCGGCCUGCUGGGACGUGGCUGACGCUGAGGCGCGACAGCGUGGGGAGCAAACAGG
rnacentral:rRNA from 1 species